CGCGUAGGCGGCUCGCUAAGUUGCCGGUGAAAUCCCGGGGCUCAACUCCGGGGCUGCCGGUAAGACUGGCGGGCUCGAGCACGGUAGAGGCAGAUGGAAUUCCCGGUGUAGCGGUGGAAUGCGUAGAUAUCGGGAAGAACACCAGUGGCGAAGGCGUUCUGCUGGGCCGUUGCUGACGCUGAGGCGCGACAGCGUGGGGAGCAAACAGGAUUAGAUACCCUGGUAGUCCACGCCGUAAACGAUGGACACUAGGCGUCGGGGGGAGCGACCCCCUCGGUGCCGUCGCUAACGCAGUAAGUGUCCCGCCUGGGGAGUACGGCCGCAAGGCUGAA
rnacentral:rRNA from 1 species